CGCAGGCUGGAAACUGUAGCUCUUAACGGUUCCCCGCCCGUUGGUGGCAAGGCGGCUGGACUAGAAUCCUAGCAGGCGAUAUGCGAGAAGGCGGGCAGCCCAAGAGGGUUGGGCAGGGCAGUGUGGAUCUCGCCGCUUCCACAGCGAUGCUGGCUACUGAUUUCGGACACCUCCUUGCCAUGGGAUGGAAAUUAAUGUUAUGACUGGAUAAGACAAUUGUGAAGAAACUGCACUUCGAGGUUGUCUGUCUCCGUAUUCCGAUGGAAAAGGCUGGACUUUAGAAGCAUUGCUCGCUCCUUCAGUUUCUAACAAGAGUUUUACAGUUUCUGAUUAAAUACCAAUGGGAUAUCACCUCCCAUCUCUUAGGAUGGCUGUUAUAAAAAGGACAAGAGAUAACAAGUGUUGGUGAUGGUGUGGAGAGAAGGGAACCUUUGUACACUGCUGGUUAAAAUGUAAGUU
rnacentral:lncRNA from 1 species